GACAGAGGGUGCAAGCGUUGUUCGGAAUCAUUGGGCGUAAAGGGCGCGUAGGCGGUGAGAUAAGUCGAAUGUGAAAUCCCUGGGCUUAACCCAGGAAGUGCAUUCGAAACUGUUUCGCUUGAGUGCUGUGAGAGGGUGGUGGAAUUCCCAGUGUAGAGGUGAAAUUCGUAGAUAUUGGGAGGAACACCAGUGGCGAAGGCGGCCACCUGGACAGCAACUGACGCUGAGGCGCGAAAGCGUGGGGAGCAAACAGG
rnacentral:rRNA from 1 species